GGGGCUGUAGCUCAGCUGGGAGAGCACCUGCUUUGCAAGCAGGGGGUCACCGGUUCGAUCCCGGUCAGCUCCACCAAAGGGAAGAGGCCCGCGCGCAGCGGGUCGGACGCUGGGGUGGAGAAGUAGGCGGCAGGAAGCGGGUCGGACCCUGGGGUGGAGAAGUAGGCGGCAGGAAGCGGGUAACAGGUAACAGGAAGUAGAGAAUAGGAAAGUAAUUAAAGAGUCCGUAGUAGUGAGUUUCUGAAUAAAGAAGCUGAGUACUACCGAUUCGCAGUAUGGAAGCGGUAUUGUUCUUUGACAGU
rnacentral:tRNA from 1 species